rnacentral:rRNA from 1 species
GAUGAACGCUGGCGGCGUGCUUAACACAUGCAAGUCGAACGGGAAUUAUUUUAUUGAAACUUCGGUCGAUUUAAUUUAAUUCUAGUGGCGGACGGGUGAGUAACGCGUGGGUAACCUGCCUUAUACAGGGGGAUAACAGUCAGAAAUGGCUGCUAAUACCGCAUAAGCGCACAGAGCUGCAUGGCUCAGUGUGAAAAACUCCGGUGGUAUAAGAUGGACCCGCGUUGGAUUAGCUGGUUGGUGGGGUAACGGCCCCCCAAGGCGACGAUCCAUAGCCGGCAUGAGAGGGUGAACGGCCACAUUGGGACUGAGACACGGCCCAGACUCCUACGGGAGGCAGCAGUGGGGAAUAUUGCACAAUGGGGGAAACCCUGAUGCAGCGACGCCGCGUGAAGGAAGAAGUAUCUCGGUAUGUAAACUUCUAUCAGCAGGGAAGAUAGUGACGGUACCUGACUAAGAAGCCCCGGCUAACUACGUG